GGCGGAUCGUGGUGGCUGCGCUUGCGAGGACCCUGAGGUAGAUUGGGUGGUUUCAACAGGAACGCAUCCACUGUCUGAGAGUUUAAACUUGAUUUUGUGAGGGGACGAACAGCGUGACAAUUAAAAGAAGAUCUGGGAAUCAAAAGCUUCCUGAGGCCUUCACCAGAAGCAGAUGCUGGUGCCGUGCUUCUACAGCCUGCAGAACUGAAGGACUUUACAGCUUCUCUUUCGCAUAUCCAAAUUGCCAGCAUCACCGCUCUUGCACUCCAAGCCAUUAUUAAGUAAAGUAAAGAACACAAACACUGUGAUACUGCUACACUUGAUCUGAUAACCAAGAAGUCUACUAAGUGACUAACAGAAGAGAAGACAUGGAGAAGAGGAGGGAGUAGUUGUGACCGUGGAGGCAGAGAAUGGAGUAAUGUGAUCAUAAAUCAAGGAAUGCUGACAGCCACUAAAGCUGGAGAAGGCCAAGGACAGAUAUUCAAUCCUCCCGUAGAAGUACAGCCCUGCUAAUGCAUUGAUUUUGGACUUCUGGCCUCAGAACUGUAAGAGAAUAAAUUUCUAUUGUUU
rnacentral:lncRNA from 1 species